rnacentral:rRNA from 1 species
CACGUAGGCGGAUCGUUAAGUGAGGGUGAAAUCCCGGGCUCAACCCCGGAACUGCCUUUCAUACUGGCGAUCUGGAGUUCGAGAGAGGUGAGUGGAAUUCCGAGUGUAGAGGUGAAAUUCGUAGAUAUUCGGAGGAACACCAGUGGCGAAGGCGGCUCACUGGCUCGAUACUGACGCUGAGGUGCGAAAGCGUGGGGAGCAAACA